rnacentral:rRNA from 1 species
UGGGGAAUUUUGGACAAUGGGGGAAACCCUGAUCCAGCCAUCCCGCGUGUGCGAUGAAGGCCUUCGGGUUGUAAAGCACUUUUGGCAGGAAAGAAACGUCGUGGGUUAAUACCCCGCGAAACUGACGGUACCUGCAGAAUAAGCACCGGCUAACUACGUGCCAGCAGCCGCGGUAAUACGUAGGGUGCAAGCGUUAAUCGGAAUUACUGGGCGUAAAGCGUGCGCAGGCGGUUCGGAAAGAAAGAUGUGAAAUCCCAGAGCUUAACUUUGGAACUGCAUUUUUAACUACCGGGCUAGAGUGUGUCAGAGGGAGGUGGAAUUCCGCGUGUAGCAGUGAAAUGCGUAGAUAUGCGGAGGAACACCGAUGGCGAAGGCAGCCUCCUGGGAUAACACUGACGCUCAUGCACGAAAGCGUGGGGAGCAAACAGGAUUAGAUACCCUGGUAGUCCACGCCCUAAACGAUGUCAACUAGCUGUUGGGGUCUUCGGACCUUGGUAGCGCAGCUAACGCGUGAAGUUGACCGCCUGGGGAGUACGGUCGCAAGAUUAAAACUCAAAUGAAUUGAC